rnacentral:misc_RNA from 1 species
CCAUCCCAUCCUUGAGGAGGCUGAAGAUAACAUUUUGUAAUUAAUUUCAUAAUAAUAGAAUAAAUAAAACCUUUAAGGACAACAAGAAUAUUGCGAUAUAUGCUUUUAGGAACAUGUUAUUACUACCUGAAUAUUCAAAAUCAAUGUAGUUUUCAUCGGAUUUUUUUUUUACACAAAUAUUCCUUGGCCAUUUUAUGAAUAGCAGACAACAAAUGAUGAUCUUUAUAUGAGCUGUAGUUGGGCUGACUCCAGACCAACAAAUAUAGACCAGAUAGGAGCUCAAGCUUAGGCAAGUGCAGCACCGACAGGACAAGCUCGACCUACCUUGGUCCUAAUAUUAUGCUAAUAAUUUUUUAAUUCUAAUAUCAUAUAUUUUAAUAAUAAUAUAAUUAUAGAGGAAAGAAUAUUUAAAAAAACGUGAAUAAACAUAAAAAUUUAGUUAUAAACACAGGUUCGUUCUUUCACUAAAGCAAAAUGGUCUUUUAGCCAGUUUUUUUUUUUAUAAUUUUUUAUAUUUUUUUUAAACAUCUUAUUCAUAUAUAUGUUAUGCUUAAGAUACGUUUGAUAGAAAGUUAAAAAAUUAAGGGUUAAAUAUCAUUCUUAUAAGUUUUAACUUUUAAAGAGGCUAAGUAUUAUCUUUGUUCCCCCAAGGUUAACAUCUAACCUCUUAAUAAGGCAUAAAUAUUAGUGAUGUAAAAAGUUAAUCUAAUCUCUUUAAGUAUCCAAAUAAUAUUAAUGAGGGAUUAAAAGUCAUAAAAGUAAUAAUAAUCAUCCCUUGUUAACCUCGUACCAAAUGCCUCCUUAGUAUUAUGUUAAGUUUAACUAUAACGUCACUUCUUUGUAGUGCCUGAUAAUUAGAUAAUUUAUAAUAUUUCAUAAUAUGAUACUUUGUAAGUAUAUUUGAUGUAAUAAGGCAUUUAUAGUAAAAUUGUCACAUUCCAUAUAAGAGAAUCAAUCUAAGAAAAUGCGUUCAAGUAAAAGUGGGUUUCACGAGAAAAGUAGUUGAAAGACAGAGAGAAAGAGAUCCUAACAAAAUGGGCCAAUGUUAACUCGCUAAGACCACAUAAGCUUUGGGCUAAGCAUGCACCCAGCAUUGUGAAUUGGGUCAAAACUCAACUCUGAGCUCAAUCAAUUGUAUUCAAUACAGAAUACCUGCCUUCAACCCAGGAUGUCGACGGCACUAACAUGUCCAUAGCCUAAGUCUAUUCCAAACUUAAUUAAUUAAUUACAAAUUAGACCAAAAAACUAUUGAGUAAGUUGGAAGGCCUAAAGGUCAUACAAAAUAUGUUAUAAAACAUAAUAAUGCACUAAUCAUCCCAAUACAUGUUUUCAUUUAGGAAGCUGUUGAGUGGAUAAAGGAUGGUACAGCUUCCCUUUAAAUUUAUGCUUAAUGGAAAAAAAGAAAAAGCCAUUACAUAAGCAAUUUUAGGAAGUAAACUCCUGAAUUCACUCGUUGGAGACUGAAAAUAGUGAUUCACUACAUAAAAUUAGUAAUCUUAUUGGAGAUAAUUAGAUAAUUCUUCUGAUCAACUGAAUCUCUCCUAUGCAGGAGAAAUUUGAGGAUGAGCUAGAAUUUCCAAUCAAACCCAAAGAAGAA